GAAUUUAAGCAUAUAAUUAAGCGGAGGAAAAGAAAAUAACCAUGAUUCCCCUAGUAACGGCGAGUGAAGCGGGAAGAGCCCAAAGUGGAAAUCGGGCGCCUGGCGUCUGACUUGUGGUCUUGAGCGGCGCUGCCAGUGGAGGGGGACGGUAAAGUUUCUUGGGAUAGGACAUCAGAGAGGGUGAGAGUCCCGUGAAGCUGUCCACUCCUGCCACGUGUCGG
rnacentral:rRNA from 1 species